CAACGGCUAAUCCGUUGCAAAUGAAAAUUCCAGAAAAAGAAAAAAAAAAACAUGGUUUGCAACGGAUUAGCCGUUA
rnacentral:sRNA from 1 species